rnacentral:tRNA from 2 species
GCGGAAGUGGCGGAACUGGCAGACGCACUAGCUUGAGGGGCUAGCGAGCCAAUGGCUCAUGGGGGUUCAAAUCCCCCCUUCCGCACCA